rnacentral:rRNA from 1 species
AUGCGGGGGGAUCGAACCUUGCUGUUGCAGCACCUCCCACAAAGAGCCGCAUCCGGCGCGACGCACACCACAAGACCAAAAUCACCAGGAGAGGAGCACGGGCUACCACCCCGAAGCUCCGGAUCCAGCCGCACGAAGAUGCCACCCCGAGCUGCCACCACCAGAUCCAUCCGAAGUUGCCACACGAGGUCCAGCUCCAGAUCCGCCCGAAGCAGCCACCGCCAGGACCAAACGGGGCAGCCCGCCACACAGCCGCACGAGCGUCGUCCCGCAGGAGGUCGCCGGCGAGGUCGUCGAGGUACUCCAGCCGCCAGCCCGUCGUAG